UCUUAUCAAGAGUGACGGAGGGAACAGGCCCUGUGAUGUCCGACAACCUGCUCGCGCGGGCGAGUAAGGUGCCAAAUCCUGCGGCGAGGCGGCGCGGCCGUCCGCAGCCGAGAGAUGAG
rnacentral:ncRNA from 1 species